UCAGGUAAUUGCGGCUGAGGGAGAACAGAAGGCAUCACGCGCUCUGCGUGAAGCAUCUGAGGUUAUCGGAGAUUCACCGGCUGCUCUACAACUACGUUACCUACAGACUCUGAACACCAUCUCAGCCGAAAAGAACUCAACAAUCGUGUUCCCACUGCCGAUCGACAUGAUGACCUACUUUAUGAAAGCAUCACAGCUGCGAGCAUCAACCACAUAGUCAGUCAGUGACGUCAUAACCAGCGACAAUCAACGAGACAUCGGUUGUAACUUAUUAGUUAUAACCUACAACAAAGUUAUAGCUCAACAAGUUAUAACAAGUCGUUUAUAUUUGUUUAUUACAAGUUCAUAUUCAAUCAUCAUAUAUGAGGUGUGUUUUUCUAGUGAUGAGGUAGCUUCAUGGCAUUGGUUCAACCCUAGAUUAUAAAUUAAUUACUAAAAUAAUGAGUAAAUUUUAAGCAUUACUUCAUGAAACCGUUAAUCCCUUCCCAACAAUACAUCUUGUACAGUUGGUUCAGUUACGAGAAUUAGGGCCAAGCUAAAUAAAUAAACCUUUGUCACCAAUAAAUUUGGAAGAAAAAUAGCACAAGGACUUCUAUACCUUAUUAUGUUAUCUGUCAAUGUUAUUACAUCAGUGUCAUUUGCAUUGUAAAUAAAUUGAUAAAUUAUUAAUGGAAGGUAUAAGGAAUGAAAGGAAAACUUUAAGGCCGCUGUAACGGCGCUAUAUAAGGCUAUGAGACGCAUAUAAGGCCGCUGAAAUUUCAAGGUAUUCCUCGUGACUCAACCAUCUAUAGCAAUAUUCUUCAAGGACUCAUUCAUAGGGAUACAUUUCCAGUACAUGAUUAGCCAAAUAUUUCGUCUAUUGGAAACUACAACCACGGGGAAUUCAUACAAAUACAUUUCUAUGCUUUUUCUAUGUAUCAUUUGCUACAACUGAUUUGUGGGGAUCAGGCCUACCAAAUAAAAUAUACCCUGAUAUUGCCAACCUGAAAAAAAUACAACUGAUAUUGCCGUAUGCUUCAGACAGGUUAUUACGUCAUCACGCCUCCAGAAUAAUGCUGACUUAUUACUAGAAAAACGCAUCUGUGACGUUAUUAAGCUGUGUUCUGUGGAUCUAUGCUUUGGAUUAUGGGUAAUAUCUCAACUGUUUGGUUUGGUGAUUAGGAGUGUAGGAAUGAGCACUAUUGAUGUAAGGGUUGAAAUUUUAAUCGGUCACUAGGCCUAUAAUAUCAUGAAUCAAAGAUGAUUUGAGCUUAAAGGGAAUCAUCAUAUUGAUUAUUUGUAAAAUACGAUAACUUACAAAAAAAUUACAUCAUUAAUUGAAUUGGCAAAUUGAAAUUAUUAAUCUAGCUUCAAAGAAGCGGAUGUCACCCAGCUUAAUCAAUUUUUUUCAAUGAAUUCCAUGUAUAAUUUAGCGAGUUCAAAUGGAUGAGCUUGGAAUGUUGAAAUUAUACAAUGUUUGUUUGUUUAUUAUGUAAUGCCACAUGAGCUUUUUGCUAGUGUGUGGGUAAUGGGAAGUGCGAGCGUGAUUUAUGAAUGAUAAAACGUCCAUGCCUAUUCGAUGGGAUACGGCGGGAUUCGAACCCGCGGACCAGGUAGCACUACCAGACUGAAGGAUGCAACGCCCUAGUCAACUCGACUAUCUGGCCGGCAAAAUACAAUAGUUCAUAUGAAGUAAUUGAAACUAUAAUUUCAUUAACGUUGUCAUGCAAACAUCAUAAUAAUUAUAGUAUCCUUAUAUAAUGCAACUCCAAGUAUUCAAGUUUUGAUCGUUUUAAAGAAAAAUUACAAUGGAGGCUUUUAUUAUUGAAGCAUAAUAUAUAUAUAAAGUGAGUAUAGGGACUUUUUCUCUUGAUUCUCAAAUUGUAAUUAUCUUAAUACACACAAGAACCUUCAAAUAUUCAGAAGCUUGAAUUGAAAUCUAAAAUUCAGUCAGGAUCUUGAUAAUUACUUUACAGAUUACACUUCACGUUGGAAGGUUAAUUAGAAUACUUGUCAAUGUGAUACGUAACAUUCCUACUAAAACUUACUGUGCUAAUCCAAUGUUUCAAAUGUGUUACAGAAUCUAGUGCACAGUCUUAAUAGCUCACUACAAUCAUUCCAAUGAAUUAUUCAUAAAUAUCAUUAACUUCAUCAUAAAAUAUGCCUGACAAUUUGGGUGUCAUCUUGAACAUUGUUUUCACUCAAAUUGUUUUCUCUGUAGUUGAAUCAAUAAAACUGUAAUACAGAAUGUGAGAAUGUUUAUUUGAUCAUUUGAUGAUUUACAUACAAUAAUUGAACGUUUUUGAUUCUGUGAGAAUAGACUCAAGUUAUAGUAUAAACAGCAACAACUUGAAUGGGGAUUUUUUCUGCUGUACGGAAUAUUCAAAUUUUUUCACUUCUGGCUAUACAGAAGCAGCAGCCAGGGCCAUAUGUGACUUUUCCACCUAUUUUCUACACGCUGCCAUUUCAAAUGGAUCUUACUAUUUAUGAUUUAUCAUAUAAUUGUAUUCAGUGAUGUAUACUUGAGAAAUUUGGAGCAGAGCAGUAGGCUAUUCAAGUACCAUGGAGGGUAGGCUACUUCAAAUUAUGUUUAAAAAAAAUCAGUCACCUGAAACUUUUUCAACUGAGUUAAUCUUUACAAUGGAUGUAGAUACAUACAGUUUUUUUAUUGUACAAGAUUCAUCAAAAGUUAUCAAUUUGAAUACAUAUAUUUUUUGAAAACUAUAUAUAGGCUAACCAUCGUUUCAAGCAAAGUGUGUUGUUCCGUUCCAUCAAUGAACCAUUUCUAUAAUGUAUAUUAUAUUUAUAAAUGUAAUCAGUUCAAUGCAUCUCAAUGCAUGAAUGUUAAAUUAUAUAUCGAUAAAUGUUGGUGUAAUUUUUGAAAAUAUUUUCCAAGCACUUAAAAAAUGUUUCUCAUUACAAUUUAAUCCUCAGUAACUGGUUUUAGUCCUUGAUGACGAACAGAUAUAUUUUUAUCUGCCUCUGUUGAAAGGAAUUAAUGGAAGCCAUUCCGCUAAUAAUUUGUUCUUUGAAUGUACUGUAAUAUUAACAAAACAAUCAUCAUCAAGUCAUUGUUAUCGAAAUGAUCAUCAGUCAUUGUUUGGUUCAUAAGAACUGAAAUACAGUCAUUAUCAAUUUACAUUUGAAAUUCAUGAGUUCGUACGGCGAUCAACAUAAUUUUAUAAAAACAAUUUUCAUUUGAUCAGUCAUUUUAUAUAUAAGCUAGUUUUAUGUUAUUGAUAAAUAUAAUUCGGUUGUAUCAAGAACAAGUGAAAAAUAUCAAAUAUUAUUUUCAAAUUUAUGAUAAUUAUAGGCCUAUACUUUGAUAGAGCUAUUCACUUUUGAGCAUUUUUUUUUUCAUGAAGAGGAUUUUAUUUAAUUUCAAUAAUAAUUGAAGAGUUGUCUUCCGUUUAAGAAACAGCUUGCAAUGAGAUGAUCAUCAACUCAAAGUAGCCUAGAAAUUGUUUGAGAAGUAUCUGACAACUGUCAGAAAACUGACAUAAUAAUAUUAUCAUGAUCAUUCCAAUGUUCAAUUUUCAUUUAUUGAUCUCCAGUUCAUCAUUCAUUAUGAAUUAUUAAGUUCAUAAAAAUGUUUUUCUAUGCUCAUUACUGACAUUUUGUGUUCUCAAGAAUCUUACCUAUUCGAACAGUUCAUUCUAUUUGAAAGGCUGUUCAGUUGGUAUUAAUCCAAUCAUAACUCAUAUUAUUAUAUUAUUGUAUAAAAUAAUUGCUCACUUAUUAUUCAACUAUAUUUUGUGAUUUGUGAUUCUCAUGAUGUCAAAGAAAUUAAUGUACACUCUGUUGCAUCAAUGUAUUGUUACAUAUAUAAUUAUGCAGGUUCAGGAGUAUUUAAAUUGAGAUAUGUAAGUGAAUUCUAAUACGAGUUAUCAUAUUUGUAUGUGCAGUCACUUUUAAUUCAAAUUCACUUUUAAAAACUAUUGGUAAACUUGCAAGUCUCUAUUAUUAUAUCUAUUGAUAUAAGUGGUAAUUUUAUAUAUUUUAAUGGGCCUACUAUUAUUUAUUAUUGAGUUCACUCUGCACAUUUUCAUUAAAUUUUCGAGUUGAGCCUGUUUAUUUGUGUUUGCUGUGAAAAUAAAAUAUUGAAAAAAAUCUUAAAAUCUUUUUUCAGGAGAUGGAGUAGCUUCGAUAAAAAUGAUUUAACCAUAUUUUCCUCAUUCAUCGUUUCAAACGUCAUGUUCUCUCAAAAUUUAUUGCCAUUCAUAUUAUUAUUCUAACAAAAUCAAAUGCAACGCCGACAUCAAAUUCAUCCUAGUCAAUUUUUAUAAUGUAUGUAUUCUUUCUGCCCACUUUUGAAGCGCUCAAUGUGUAAGUUAUACAUUAAUAAUGGAUAAUUAUUAUAAUAAUCGCACACACCAAGUAAUAUUGUAAUAAGUGUGUCCAAGUUACUUUAGUGUUAUAGACUAAGUUUGAUACUGUACUGUGAAACCAAUUGAAAUAUUGUGUGUAAAAAUGUAAUUAAUAUAGAGCACACAAACACUUUUAAAAAUAAGUGGAUAAAAUAACAAGAUUUCUGAUAGAAAUACUGUAUUGAAAAAUUGAGGUUGAGUGAGACCAAAAUCUAAAAAAAUCUAUGUCAAAUCUAGUAAAAUGAAAUAUUCUUAUUUAGAUGCUAUAUUCUAGUAAAUAAAAUAUUAUUUCUAUUAACAUGACAUUAUUCAUUCUAUUGGAUUAAACUAUUUCGACUGUGUGUGUGAUCCUGUCUUGCAGGAAUGCUGUUAUGUGCAAUAUUAAAUUUUAUUGAGUUCAAUAUUCUAAUUCAUAAUUGAAAACUGAUGUUCAAAGUGAGAAUUCAAUCAGAAAUACGUUGUGGAGAAAAAUUUACCAUAUCGUGAAAUAAUUGUCAUCCAACGAUGUGGAAACGGCACAUGGGUUGGGAUAACGAAGAGAAGUAAAAUAAAUAUUGCACAAUAAAAUCUACAACCUUUCUAAUAUGGUAUGUAUCACUCAUGUAAUGGUUCAUUAUCAAUGCUCAAUGUCUUUCAGAUGAGAAUCUAUGGAGCUCGAUUGGGUUCAAUGAUGAUCCUCUCCUACUUUUCCAUUAAUUGGAGAUUUUUUUCCAAUUUUGGAAAUAUCAAUAGCUACCCUACUCUCUCGAUAAUUAUAGCUAUUGAAAUUUAUAAAUUUUGUUUCAAUUGUGUUGAUUGUGGGAGCUCUUGGAUGUAAUGGUAUGCUGAGUUUUUCAAAAUGAAUUCAACACUUGGGUGGAUAAUGAUAUUCAAAAUUGUAAGAUUUUCCACCCUCCAGAUGUGUAAGAAAAAAGGUUGAAUUCCAGCCCAAUCUUUUUUGAUUAUUCAAAAUUGUGCAAAUCUUUCAAAUUUUCAAACUCAUUUUCACCUAAAUAGGGCUCAGAAAAUAAUAAUUCUAUCGUUUUCAUUUCCUACCUAGCAGAUUAGAUCUAUGAUUUUUAUAUGCUAGAUGUAUUGGAAAUGAAAAAUAAUGAAUUAUUGAAACUUUAUUGUCAACAAUGUUCAACAAUUUUAGGUGGGAAUAUUGUUGAUGUUUUAUGAAGAGAGACUCCAUUUUGGAAAACAAAAUCAGCUCAUACAUCCAUAACUUUCCAAAGAGUUCUAGUAAUUCUUUUUAAUUUUUGAUAUUUUAAGUUCUCCAAUUGCAAUGAUCCUGAGAACAGAAUAGAAUGUCAAUCCCAACAUAAUUUGAGUUUCCAGCCAUUGUCAUCAGUGAAAUGACUAAUUAUUCUCUUUAGUUCUCAACUCACCCAAUUAUAUGAGAAAUAAUAAUUAAUUACUAAUUUUCAUAACCGAUAUCAUUAUAACAUGACGGUAUUCAGCCUGGUAUACUCAGGGUUCAUUAUUGCUAACAGGAUAGUUUAAAAUAUAUUAAUCCAUGGAGAUUCUGUCUGAUUUCUUCAUCAAUUACGAGAUAUUGGAUUGAAAUACCUCACACAUUUAGAGGAAUUUUC